UGCCUCCUCUUUUUCAUUCUUCUCGUCCUUCUUUGUCCCUCCUCCUCCUACUACUUCUUCUUCUUUUUCUUCUUCUUCUUCCUCUUUUUCUUCAAUUUUUUUUUUGGAUUUACCAUCAUCGUCAUCCUCACUGUCAGAUGAGGAUGCAUAUGAUUUAGACUCAGAGUCAGAUGAGUCAAAACCAUAAAAAACCACUCCAUGAUUAUUCCUU
rnacentral:lncRNA from 1 species